rnacentral:lncRNA from 1 species
AGAUUAUCCACUCGAAGUUCUGAUCAGAUUGUCCUUUUCGGGAGUGCUAGGUCGUGCAGAAGGCACUGGAUGGCUAGAAUAAGCUUCUUCCUUUGAAUCUCUCAGACUCUUCUAAAUCAAAGGAUGGAGCUACAAGAGGAGGUUGUGGUGUAGGGGAUUGAAAUAAGACCCUCUUGUAUUUCUUCUCACACAAAAAUCUAGAGCUGAAAUCCUAAAAUCUCACCCUAGACC